rnacentral:rRNA from 1 species
CUACGGGCGGCUCCGGUGAGGAAUAUUGCACAAUGGGGGGAACCCUGAUGCAGCAACGCCGCGUGGAGGAUGACGCAUUUCGGUGUGUAAACUCCUUUUAUAUGUCAAGAAAAUGACGGUAGCAUAUGAAUAAGCACCGGCUAACUCCGUGCCAGCAGCCGCGGUAAUACGGAGGGUGCAAGCGUUACUCGGAAUCACCUGGGCGUAAAGGACGCGUAGGCGGGUUGGAAAGUCAGGUGUGAAAUCCUACAGCUUAACUGUAGAACUGCACUUGAAACUUCUAAUCUAGAGUAUGGGAGGGGGGGAUGGAAUUAGUGGUGUAGGGGUAAAAUCCGUAGAUAUCACUAGGAAUACCUAAAGCGAAGGCGAUCUCCUGGAACAUUACUGACGCUAAGGCGUGAAAGCGUGGGGAGCAAACAGGAUUAGAUACCCUCGUAGUC